GGGAAGGCCAGCCCGCGGUCACGCCGGCUGUGGGAAGGGAAAGUGGGCUCCCCGGGCUACUGUUUCCGGGUGCUCGGGGCGUGGGCCGAGCGGGGAGCGGACCGGGGAUCAGGAGGGCUUCCGGAGGCGCCGCGGGCGCUCGGCAGGCGGGAGUUGAGAGCAGGCCGGCCGCGCGGUUGACUCGCCCGGCUGAGGCCGCCCCGCGAGCGCGCCUGUGGGGGUUUCCAUGGUGACAGUAAACAAGCCUCAACUGCCUCAGCUACAACUGCCAAGUCCCCGGGGUUCCACCCUCCUCUAGGUGCUCUGAGGGCCGGCGAGGUUCCGGAUGUGAGUGGGAGCGUGGAGCCGAGAAGCCGGAGGUUGAGAACAAAAAGAUGCACCUGGACUUUCCCCGGAGCCCUCUGCGUUUUUAAGGCGUCGGGUGGAGUUUGAGUUCGUAAGCCGCGUUCCUUACUGAAUAUAGAAGUCACUUCUACCUUCCUCCCCUGGAAAACUUGUUACCUUCCAUAAAGUGUUUCCUACAGAAGGCAUCUGUGGUGGUUCUUUAAGCUACAAAAAAAUUGCCCAAGCUUGUGUGACAUCAGCCCUGUCAAGUGUCCAUGAUGCUGGGCCCUGAGGGAGGUGAAGGCUAUGUGGUCAAACUCCGUGGCCUACCCUGGUCCUGCUCAAUUGAGGACGUACAAAACUUCCUCUCCGACUGCACAAUUCAUGAUGGGGUCGCAGG